AGAGUUUGAUCCUGGCUCAGAUUGAACGCUGGCGGCAUGCCUUACACAUGCAAGUCGAACGGCAGCGCGGGGCAACCUGGCGGCGAGUGGCGAACGGGUGAGUAAUAUAUCGGAACGUGCCCUGGAGUGGGGGAUAACGCAGCGAAAGUUGCGCUAAUACCGCAUACGAUCUAAGGAUGAAAGCAGGGGACCGCAAGGCCUUGUGCUCCUGGAGCGGCCGAUAUCUGAUUAGCUAGUUGGUGGGGUAAAGGCCUACCAAGGCAUCGAUCAGUAGCUGGUCUGAGAGGACGACCAGCCACACUGGAACUGAGACACGGUCCAGACUCCUACGGGAGGCAGCAGUGGGGAAUUUUGGACAAUGGGCGAAAGCCUGAUCCAGCAAUGCCGCGUGAGUGAAGAAGGCCUUCGGGUUGUAAAGCUCUUUUGUCAGGGAAGAAACGGUGCGGGCUAAUAUCCCGCACUAAUGACGGUACCUGAAGAAUAAGCACCGGCUAACUACGUGCCAGCAGCCGCGGUAAUACGUAGGGUGCAAGCGUUAAUCGGAAUUACUGGGCGUAAAGCGUGCGCAGGCGGUUUUGUAAGUUUGUCGUGAAAGCCCCGGGCUCAACCUGGGAAUUGCGAUGAAGACUGCAAGGCUUGAAUCUGGCAGAGGGGGGUAGAAUUCCACGUAGCAGUGAAAUGCGUAGAGAUGUGGAGGAACACCGAUGGCGAAGGCAGCCCCCUGGGUCAAGAUUGACGCUCAUGCACGAAAGCGUGGGGAGCAAACAGGAUUAGAUACCCUAGUAGUCC
rnacentral:rRNA from 1 species